rnacentral:rRNA from 1 species
GGAUGCGAUCAUAGCAGCACUAAAGCACCGGACCCCAUCAGAACUCCGAAGUUAAUCCUGCUUGGGCGAGAGUAGUACUUGGAUGGGUGACCUCUUGGGAAGUCCUCGUGUUGCAUUCC